rnacentral:rRNA from 1 species
AAAGGAAUUGACGGGGGCCCGCACAAGCGGUGGAGCAUGUGGUUUAAUUCGAUGCAACGCGAAGAACCUUACCAAGGCUUGACAUCCCCCUGCUGUACGCGGAAACGUGUAUUUUCUUUAUGAACAGGGGAGACAGGUGGUGCAUGGUUGUCGUCAGCUCGUGUCGUGAGAUGUUGGGUUAAGUCCCGCAACGAGCGCAACCCUUAUCUUUAGUAGCCAUCAAGUAAAGUUGGGUACACUAGAGAGACUGCCGUGGAAACACGGAGGAAGGUGGGGAUGAGGUCAAAUCAUCAUGCCCUUUAUGUCUUGGGCUACACACGUGCUACAAUGGCUGUAACAGAGUGAUGCGAACCUGUGAAGGUAAGCCAAGCACAAAAAAGCAGUCUCAGUUCGGAUUGUAGUCUGCAACCCGACUACAUGAAGUUGGAAUCGCUAGUAAUCGCGAAUCAGCACGUCGCGGUGAAUACGUUCCCGGGCCUUGUACACACCGCCCGU